rnacentral:rRNA from 1 species
GAUGAACGCUGGCGGCGUGCCUAAUACAUGCAAGUCGAGCGAACAGACGAGGAGCUUGCUCCUCUGACGUUAGCGGCGGACAGGUGAGUAACACGUGGAUAACCUACCUAUAAGACUGGGAUAACUUCGGGAAACCGGAGCUAAUACCGGAUAAUAUAUUGAACCGCAUGGUUCAAUAGUGAAAGACGGUUUUGCUGUCACUUAUAGAUGGAUCCGCGCCGCAUUAGCUAGUUGGUAAGGUAACGGCUUACCAAGGCAACGAUGCGUAGCCGACCUGAGAGGGUGAUCGGCCACACGUGAACUGAGACACGGUCCAGACUCCUACGGGAGGCAGCAGUAGGGAAUCUUCCGCAAUGGGCGAAAGCCUGACGGAGCAACGCCGCGUGAGUGAUGAAGGUCUUCGGAUCGUAAAACUCUGUUAUUAGGGAAGAACAAAUGUGUAAGUAACUAUGCACGUCUUGACGGUACCUAAUCAGAAAGCCACGGCUAACUACGUG